rnacentral:sRNA from 1 species
CAGGGAGGGCAAUGAGCCAGGGGAGACCACUCAGAUCACAUACCAUCAGCUUCUGGUCCAAGUGUGUCAGUUCAGCAAUGUUCUCCGAAAACAGGGCAUUCAGAAGGGGGACCGAGUGGCCAUCUACAUGCCUAUGAUCCCAGAGCUUGUGGUGGCCAUGCUGGCAUGUGCCCGCAUUGGGGCUUUGCACUCCAUUGUGUUUGCAGGCUUCUCUUCAGAGUCUCUAUGUGAACGGAUCUUGGAUUCCAGCUGCAGUCUUCUCAUCACUACAGAUGCCUUCUACAGGGGGGAAAAGGGUUUCCCAGUAAGAUGCUGCAUUGUGGUCAAGCACCUGGGGCGGGCAGAGCUCGGCAUGGGUGACUCCCCCAGCCAGUCCCCCCCAAUUAAGAGGUCAUGCCCGGAUGUGCAGAUCUCAUGGAACCAAGGGAUUGACUUGUGGUGGCAUGAGCUCAUGCAAGAGGCAGGGGAUGAGUGUGAGCCCGAGUGGUGUGAUGCCGAGGACCCACUCUUCAUCCUGUACACCAGUGGCUCCACAGGCAAACCCAAG